CCUACGGGUGGCAGCAGUGGGGAAUAUUGGACAAUGGGGGCAACCCUGAUCCAGCCAUGCCGCGUGUGUGAAGAAGGCCCUCGGGUUGUAAAGCACUUUCAGUGAGGAAGAACGCCUGGUGGUUAAUACCCAUCAGGAAAGACAUCACUCACAGAAGAAGCACCGGCUAACUCCGUGCCAGCAGCCGCGGUAAUACGGAGGGUGCGAGCGUUAAUCGGAAUUACUGGGCGUAAAGCGCGCGUAGGUGGCUUGAUAAGCCGGUUGUGAAAGCCCCGGGCUCAACCUGGGAACGGCAUCCGGAACUGUCAAGCUAGAGUGCAGGAGAGGAAGGUAGAAUUCCCGGUGUAGCGGUGAAAUGCGUAGAGAUCGGGAGGAAUACCAGUGGCGAAGGCGGCCUUCUGGACUGACACUGACACGGAGGUGCGAAAGCGUGGGUAGCAAACAGGAUUAGAUACCCAGUAGUC
rnacentral:rRNA from 1 species